ensembl:lncRNA
CCAAGAGAGAUAUGUAAAUGGUACUGAAAAGCACAAGAAGCCACUGUGUUGGAAGUGCUUACAGGUCUGUGUCUUGUUCAUAUGGAACGUGCUUGACACUCCAACCUUGUGCAAAGGUAGAGCCCUUGGGGAAUAAAAGAAGGGGAAAAAAAAAAGAGUGGGUCACAGACCUUUGAGUCCACCAGGACACUGCAACAAGGACAGAGGGGUCUGGAAGAGGAAAGCAAUGGGAAGGAUCCUAAUCACAGUGCAACACAGUGAUGUGCUGCAACCAACCGUAAGUUAAGUGAAAUCAUUGUUCUCUCACACCUGUAUUCAUACUUUUCAUAGUGCUAUAAAGCCAAUGGUGCAGAUUUAAGAUGGAAAAGUAAAAUAAAUCUUAUCUGUCUGAGAAAGGAAAUGGCAGGUGGGUGAAGGCUUGGCAACAGUCCUGAUAACAGCAGUAUAAGCUGCACACAACAACUCUUGCCAAAGAGCUGGGAAAAGGGAAGGUCUGCUUAGUGUUAAACCAGUGGGUAAUCCAGGCGGCCUCUAAAACUACAACCCCCAGUAGCUACAAGGGCAAUAAACUCAGGAUCCCAAACAGUGGAGCAGGAAGGAAACAAUGGAUGAAAGCAUAACACUGAACAACCAAUAGAGGUGGGCAAGAAGCUGCACAGGCCCCUGGACUGAGUCAGGGAGUGUAAAAAAGAUAGCCAAGGAACAUGAAAAGGAGCCUUGUUCACAUACAGGUCGCAGUUAUUGGCCUUGUCCAUGGGCCACGUGUCCAUCAUUGGCCUUGGAUUCAACACAGUAUUGUGCAGCCCCAGCCCAAACGUCUCAUACUGCUGUUCAUCACGUGGGGAAAACCAAGGACUGUGAUCUACUUUCUUUUCCUCCUUUCGAUGUUCCUCCUUGGGGUACAGAUUUGGAAACACUGGUAAACUACAUAAUUCAACUUCUGAAGUGGGAAAACCGGUCUUUAAAACAUAUUUAUAUUUAAAUGUAUCCUGUGGUUGUGGACAGUAGGGCAGAACUCACCUCUCUGAGCUUUGCAGCCUCAUAACGAGGGCACUCAUGUGACUUUUCACCAUCGUCACUAUUAUCACCCUACACAUAUACAAGAAUCAAAUCCUCCUCCUCCUGGAAUCAGUGCUGAGCACGUGCAAAUAUCAACGGGACUUGUGCUGGACAUACAGUUGUAAGAGGUUGGACAACUCAGUGUGCUAAGCACUGCCACACAGGGCAUGGAACGUGUGACACGGUGGCCUUUCCAAAGCAGACAAACAACUGCUUAGCGCUGGGGACCUGUCUAUCUGACAGCAGUGAAUCAUUCCUGGUGAUGCUGGAAGCAUUUUUCCAGCCUGACUUGAAGAGAGUUAUACUCCCAGCUCGACUUUGAUGUCAGCAAAUGACUGCACUUCACUGUUCCCUGUCUUCCAGUUAUUAUUUUUUCCGUCUAAGCCUGGAAUAGCGACUUUCAGUUCUGCUAAGAUGUAUGUAGGUCAUGAAUAUGUUAACAACCAGAGCCAAAGUGAAAGUGCAGUAAGUCAUACAUCUCACUAACCAGAGAUCCACAGAGAGUUUUUACUGCUAAGAAAACGAAGGCAUCCGCUUCAAAGGAAGCAAACAGAUCCUCCUGUAAUGUGAGCUGCAGGUUAUUUUGCUCUGGUUGUUUGCAGCUGAGUAACUCAGAAAGUGCCUCUGUCACUGAUCGUAUGGCCUCAACCUCUCCUUUAAAUGUUAUUUCUGAAAUCAUUUAUCAUUUGCAGGAAUAUAGGUUAAGGUCAGUGCAGCAUAAAAACUGCCCUUCCCCUUGUAAGCUCACUUAGAAAUUCAUGCUGGUUUCUGUGGGACUUUCGCUGGUGCCAGCGGUACCUAAAUUGUCAUGUCUCCGUGGUCGGGGAGAAGAGCAAUGCUGUGCUGUGAAAAUCCUUCUUCAGUACAGGGCUAUGGAGUCACACUGCUGUGUUAAGGGUGGGAAUAUAUACCAGAUACCAGGGAAGGAUGUAAGAUAGCCUCCAUCAGAGAAGCAAGGAUUCUGGGGGAGAAGUGGCCAUUUUUAUCUGUAACUCAGAAGAUACUUAGGACGUGUUUCAUCUAACCAGACCUCCACAUUCAUAAAGUCUUUGGCUGCCCGUAAGUUGGCCUACUAGUUUCACGCCUUUCAGUCCCAAAGGCAGUGAGACCACAGAAUGAUAGAAUCAUUAAGGCUGGGAAAGACCGUUCAGAUCAUCCAGCCCAGCCCCCGCCUACCCCCACCAUGCCCACUGACCACAUCCUUCAGAGCCACAUCUACACAGUUCUUGGACACCCCCAGGGACGGUGACCCCAUCACAUCCCUGGGCAGCCAGUUUCAUUUAUCACUCAGUAUACCACAGGCCAGAAAUCAGCACUCACUAAAUGGUUCGUUGGCCACUUUGCGCUCAAGUGCAUCUUCUCUGGAGGCAGUUAUGAUGCAAAACCUUUUCUGAUGGAGGCAAGAUCAUCCCAUGUUUCAUGCCUUCGUUGUAACAUUAAAAUGCAGUCGCCAGCAACAGUGGUGGAGAAAACAGCGAGCGUGUUUUAGAUUCAGGCACACAGAACACAGGUAUGGGUCUCUCUUUGGAUAAUACAAACAGAAAGAGAAGGGCCUAGACCUAAAGCCAGCAGAAUGAAUGCACGCUGUCUCAUCUCACCGACUUUGGUUUACUGAAAACCCUCGAUUCAGUGGUCCCAACUCCCUCUACCUUUGGGUGUUGCUGAUAGAACAAAGCAGGUGCUACAUAAAGAAAACCCAGACACAAGAGCCAUUCUCCAGAACCAACUCUUAGAGAUGCAGCACGAUCCAACACGCAAAAGAAAAACAAAAGGAAAACAAAACAAACAAACAACAACAAAAAAAAAACAGCAAAAAUAACUGAAAUCUGGGCUCUUCUGCAAGGUUCUACUUAUCUUCCAGGAGAACAAACUGACCUACCUGGCUGUUCGGUGCUGUCUUCUCUAUCUGAAGCUGUUUGUCAAGACAAGCGGGAGGAUCGUGCCGAGCACCAUGCAGGGAGCUGCAGCCUCUGUUCAGAUCCCUAUGGGAUAAUUCAGCAGGGCUGCUCCCCAGCGGGGCUGCGAGGCUCCCCUGGGAACGCUGCGCUUUCCAGGUAGACCUGCCCAGGGACAGAAGUCACAGGAUGUCCUGGUGUGCUUCACGUCCUCAGCAACGGCCGCGGGAGGAAAGGCAGUUACCCAAGCUGUGGGUGGAACAUGGCACAGCAUUGCACUGGGUAAAUAACAAGAAUUGAUCCUUGGACUCAGGGUUGGUACAUGACACUAUUUUUAAACCAGAAAACUGUCUCCCAAAGGGAAGAAGAGAUGCCACAACACUGCAGGAUUCAGGUUUGGUAUUGACAGCAACAUGCCAUCCUCCGCACCCAGUGUUGCAGCUCUGAGGACCGGAGAUGUUGAGAGAUGCAACCUCAAAGCUGCUGUGAAGACUCCUGGGAUAAGUCACCUGGCCACCAAAAUCAACAUUUGGCUGAGCUUUGCAGAACCAUCACACUUCCUGCCCUCUCCCACCUCCUCUCGAGAAAAGAUGAAGGCUCGAUGUAACAGGUGCCCUACUUACCUGCAGCUUUGAUCUCUUGCAACUCUCCGUUAACAGAAGUUGGGAGUGAUUUCUGAGGGAGCCUCAGAGCGUGUGUAUUCACAGCCUGGAGAGCUGCUCUGCUUUCUGGGAGGGCUGGCUUUAUGAGACUUCAGAGGAAG